rnacentral:rRNA from 1 species
AACGGCAGCAUGAUCUAGCUUGCUGGAUUGAUGGCGAGUGGCGAACGGGUGAGUAAUACAUCGGAACGUGCCCUGUAGUGGGGGAUAACUAGUCGAAAGAUUAGCUAAUACCGCAUACGACCUGAGGGUGAAAGUGGGGGACCGCAAGGCCUCAUGCUAUAGGAGCGGCCGAUGUCUGAUUAGCUAGUUGGUGAGGUAAAGGCUCACCAAGGCGACGAUCAGUAGCUGGUCUGAGAGGACGAUCAGCCACACUGGGACUGAGACACGGCCCAGACUCCUACGGGAGGCAGCAGUGGGGAAUUUUGGACAAUGGGGGCAACCCUGAUCCAGCAAUGCCGCGUGUGUGAAGAAGGCCUUCGGGUUGUAAAGCACUUUUGUCCGGAAAGAAAUCGCACUUACUAAUAUUAGGUGUGGAUGACGGUACCGGAAGAAUAAGGACCGGCUAACUACGUGCCAGCAGCCGCGGUAAUACGUAGGGUCCAAGCGUUAAUCGGAAUUACUGGGCGUAAAGCGUGCGCAGGCGGUUGUGCAAGACCGAUGUGAAAUCCCCGGGCUUAACCAGGGAAUUGCAUUGGUGACUGCACGGCUAGAGUGUGUCAGAGGGGGGUAGAAUUCCACGUGUAGCAGUGAAAUGCGUAGAGAUGUGGAGGAAUACCGAUGGCGAAUGCAGCCCCCUGGGAUAACACUGACGCUCAUGCACGAAAGCGUGGGGAGCAAACAGGAUUAGAUACCCUGGUAGUCCACGCCCUAAACGAUGUCAACUAGUUGUUGGGGAUUCAUUUCCUUUAGUAACGUAGCUAACGCGUGAAGUUGACCGCCUGGGGAGUACGGUCGCAAGAUUAAAACUCAAAGGAAUUGACGGGGACCCGCACAAGCGGUGGAUGAUGUGGAUUAAUUCGAUGCAACGCGAAAAACCUUACCUACCCUUGACAUGCCACUAACGAAGCAGAGAUGCAUUAGGUGCUCGAAAGAGAAAGUGGACACAGGUGCUGCAUGGCUGUCGCCAGCUCGUGUCGUGAGAUGUUGGGUUAAGUCCCGCAACGAGCGCAACCCUUGUCUCUAGUUGCUACGAAAGGGCACUCUAGAGAGACUGCCGGUGACAAACCGGAGGAAGGUGGGGAUGACGUCAAGUCCUCAUGGCCCUUAUGGGUAGGGCUUCACACAUCAUACAAUGGUGCAUACAGAGGGUUGCCAAGCCGCGAGGUGGAGCUAAUCCCAGAAAAUGCAUCGUAGUCCGGAUCGUAGUCUGCAACUCGACUACGUGAAGCUGGAAUCGCUAGUAAUCGCGGAUCAGCAUGCCGCGGUGAAUACGUUCCCGGGUCUUGUACACACCGCCCGUCACACCAUGGGAGUGGGUUUUGCCAGAAGUAGUUAGCCUAACCGCAAGGGGGGCGAUUACCACGGCAGGGUUCAUGACUGGGGUGAAGUCGUAACAAGGUA